UCCUGCAGUCGAACGAGAAAGUCCCUUCGGGGGCGAUUAAAGUGGCGGACGGGUGAGUAACGCGUGGGUAAUCUACCUUUUAGUGGGGGACAACUUGCCGAAAGGCGGGCUAAUACCGCAUGAUACGGUUGGUUCACAAGGGCCGACCGUCAAAGGUGGUCUGCUUGCAGGCUGCCGCUGAAAGAUGAGCCCGCGUCCCAUUAGCUUGUUGGCGGGAUAACAGCCCACCAAGGCGACGAUGGGUAGCCGACCUGAGAGGGUGAUCGGCCACACUGGGACUGAGACACGGCCCAGACUCCUACGGGAGGCAGCAGUGGGGAAUAUUGCGCAAUGGGCGAAAGCCUGACGCAGCAACGCCGCGUGAGUGAUGAAGGCCUUCGGGUCGUAAAGCUCUGUCGCAGGGAACGAAAGCCAUCGCCUGAAUAGGGCGAUGGUAUGACGGUACUCUGCAAGAAAGCCCCGGCCAACUCCGUGCCAGCAGCCGCGGUAAGACGGAGGGGGCGAGCGUUGUUCGGAAUUACUGGGCGUAAAGGGCGCGUAGGCGGUCAUGCAAGUCGGAGGUGUAAGCCCACGGCUCAACCGUGGAAUUGCCUUCGAAACUGCAUGACUUGAGUACGGAAGAGGAGAGCGGAAUUCCCAGUGUAGCGGUGAAAUGCGUAGAUAUUGGGGAGGAACACCAGUGGCGAAGGCGGCUCUCUGGUCCGAAACUGACGCUGAGGCGCGAAAGCCAGGGGAGCAAACGGGAUUAGAUACCCCGGUAGUCCUGGCCGUAAACGUUGUGCACUAUGUGUAGGAGGUAUCGACCCCUUCUGUGCCGAAGCUAACGCAUUAAGUGCACCGCCUGGGGAGUACGAUCGCAAGAUUGAAACUCAAAAGAAUUGACGGGGGCCCGCACAAGCGGUGGAGCAUGUGGUUUAAUUCGACGCAACGCGAAGAACCUUACCAGGGCUUGACAUCCUUUGACUGCUAUGGAAACAUAGUAUUCCCUUCGGGACGAGUGACAGUGCUGCAUGCUGUCGUCAGCUCGUGUCGUGAGAUGUGGGUAGUCCGCACCGAGCGCAUCAGCUCUGUUGCAUCGGAUGCGUCACUCUGAGGACUGCGGCAUAGCUGAGAGUGGGAUGACGUCAGUCUCAUGCUUUAUGCCCUG
rnacentral:rRNA from 1 species